GCCAGGCAUGGUGGCGCACGCCUGUAAUUCCAGCGGCUUGGGAGGCUAAGGCAGGUGGAUCAUGAGUUCAAAGCCAGCCUCAGCAAAAGCAAGGCACUAAGCUAUUUAGUGAGACCCUGUCUCUA
rnacentral:sRNA from 1 species